AAAUGAAUAGACGGGGGCCCGCACAAGCAGUGGAGCAUGUGGUUUAAUUCGACGCAACGCGCAGAACCUUACCAGGGUUUGACAUCCCCUGCUAGUCGUGGAAACACGAUUUUCGGACUUAGGUUCGACAGGGAGACAGGUGCUGCAUGGUUGUCGUCAGCUCGUGUCGUGAGAUGUUGGGUUAAGUCCCGCAACGAGCGCAACCCCUGUCCUGUGUUGCCAGCGUAGAGCCGGGCACUCACAGGAGACUGCCGGAGAGAAUUCGGAGGAAGGUGGGGAUGACGUCAAAUCAUCAUGGCCCUUAUACCCUGGGCUACACACGUGCUACAAUGGCAGGCACAGAGGGGAGCGAAGGAGCGAUCCGGAGCGAAUCUCAAAAAGCCUGUCUCAGUUCGGAUUGGGGGCUGCAACUCGCCCCCAUGAAGCCGGAAUUGCUAGUAAUCGCGGAUCAGCCACGCCGCGGUGAAUACGUUCCCGGGCCUUGCACACACCGCCCGU
rnacentral:rRNA from 1 species